GGAAUCUUCCACAAUGGGCGCAAGCCUGAUGGAGCAACGCCGCGUGAGUGAAGAAGGUCUUCGGAUCGUAAAACUCUGUUGUAAGAGAAGAACGUGUGUGAGAGUGGAAAGUUCACACAGUGACGGUAACUUACCAGAAAGGGACGGCUAACUACGUGCCAA
rnacentral:rRNA from 1 species